GCUCUCCGCUGCCAGUGCCUCCGUGCUCCGAGGGACCACAGGUCCACUACGUGAGGGGAGGCUUCCCUCCCACAGGAACUCACACCUGUGGGCAGGAAGCCGGGAGGCCCGCCCCCUGCCUGGGUUCCUGCAGGGGAAGGCGAGGGUGGCUGGAUAGAGCGUACCCUGAGAGGUGGUUGGGCAGGAGGCUGGGCUGGUGGCCAGCUGCGCAGGGAGACCGGGAGGUGGCAGAUCUGCGGGGCGCCCAGUCACUUCCUCCACGUUCUCGUGCUGGGCGGGAGGAGCGGAUGGGGCUUGGGAGGCAGCCUGCUCUCCAGUCCCUAUCCACCCACAGGUUUUUUGGGUCGGAGAGGAAUUAUCUGAUAAAAUUCCUGGGUUAAUAUUUUUAAAAACGGAGAGUUUUUAAAAAUGAUUUUUUUCCCUCGAAAAUGACCUUUUUAUGCUUCGAAGCAGUUUGUCACCAGCAUAGUGCUUUUUCUUUUCUCUUCUUUUUCUACGAUAAAUGAAAGCAUUUCUUCAAGAAAAAGGCACAGGUUCCUUGAACAGCUGGAUUCUGAUGGCACCAUUACUAUAGAGGAGCAGAUUGUCCUUGUGCUGAAAGCGAAAGUACAAUGUGAACUCAACAUCACAGCUCAACUCCAGGAGGGAGAAGGUAAUUGUUUCCCUGAAUGGGAUGGACUCAUUUGUUGGCCCAGAGGAACAGUGGGGAAAAUAUCGGCUGUUCCAUGCCCUCCUUAUAUUUAUGACUUCAACCAUAAAGGAGUUGCUUUCCGACACUGUAACCCCAAUGGAACAUGGGAUUUUAUGCACAGCUUAAAUAAAACAUGGGCCAAUUAUUCAGACUGCCUUCGCUUUCUGCAGCCAGAUAUCAGCAUAGGAAAGCAAGAAUUCUUUGAACGCCUCUAUGUAAUGUAUACCGUUGGCUACUCCAUCUCUUUUGGUUCCUUGGCUGUGGCUAUUCUCAUCAUUGGUUACUUCAGACGAUUGCAUUGCACUAGGAACUAUAUCCACAUGCACUUAUUUGUGUCUUUCAUGCUGAGAGCUACAAGCAUCUUUGUCAAAGACAGAGUAGUCCAUGCUCACAUAGGAGUAAAGGAGCUGGAGUCCCUAAUAAUGCAGGAUGACCCACAAAAUUCCAUUGAGGCAACUUCUGUGGACAAAUCACAAUAUAUCGGGUGCAAGAUUGCUGUUGUGAUGUUUAUUUACUUCCUGGCUACAAAUUAUUAUUGGAUCCUGGUGGAAGGUCUCUACCUGCAUAAUCUCAUCUUUGUGGCUUUCUUUUCGGACACCAAAUACCUGUGGGGCUUCAUCUUGAUAGGCUGGGGGUUUCCAGCAGCAUUUGUUGCAGCAUGGGCUGUGGCACGAGCAACUCUGGCUGAUGCGAGGUGCUGGGAACUUAGUGCUGGAGACAUCAAGUGGAUUUAUCAAGCACCGAUCUUAGCAGCUAUUGGGGUAAACCAUUCCAUGAUUCACCUUCUAUUCAAACACAAUAAAACACGAGCAUCAUGAGAAGGCAUAGGGAUGCUCAGCCUGAAGAGCAGGAGAUGCUGCAGGCAGGACAGCUGGCCUGAAAGAAGUGGGAAAGCUGAAUUUUAUUCUGUUUCUGAAUACGGUUAGAGUUCUAGCUACCAAAAUCUGGGAGACCAAUGCAGUUGGGCAUGACACAAGGAAGCAAUACAGGAAACUGGCCAAAUCGACACUGGUCCUGGUCCUAGUCUUUGGAGUGCAUUACAUCGUGUUCGUAUGCCUGCCUCACUCCUUCACUGGGCUCGGGUGGGAGAUCCGCAUGCACUGUGAGCUCUUCUUCAACUCCUUUCAGGGUUUCUUUGUGUCUAUCAUCUACUGCUACUGCAAUGGAGAGGUUCAGGCAGAGGUGAAGAAGAUGUGGAGUCGGUGGAACCUCUCCGUGGACUGGAAAAGGACACCGCCAUGUGGCAGCCGCAGAUGCGGCUCAGUGCUCACCACCGUGACGCACAGCACCAGCAGCCAGUCACAGGUGGCGGCCAGCACACGCAUGGUGCUUAUCUCUGGCAAAGCUGCCAAGAUCGCCAGCAGACAGCCUGACAGCCACAUCACUUUACCUGGCUAUGUCUGGAGUAACUCAGAGCAGGACUGCCUGCCACACUCUUUCCACGAGGAGACCAAGGAAGAUAGUGGGAGGCAGGGAGAUGAUAUUCUAAUGGAGAAGCCUUCCAGGCCUAUGGAAUCUAACCCAGACACUGAAGGAUGCCAAGGAGAAACUGAGGAUGUUCUCUGAAUGGACAUUUGUGGCUGACUUUCAUGGGCUGGUCCAAUGGCUGGUUGUGUGAGAGGGCUUGGCUGAUACUCCUAUGCUUGAGUUCAAAGGCUGAAAAUUCAGUUAAGGUGUUACUUAAUAAUAGUUUUUAGGCUCCAUGAAUUGGCUCCUGUAAAUACUAACGACAUGAAAAUGCAAGUGUCAAUGGAGUAGUUUAUUACCUUCUAUUGGCAUCAAGUUUUCCUCUAAAUUAAUGUAUGGUAUUUGCUCUGUGAUUGUUCAUUUUUUUCUGCUACUUUUGGGUAGAAAAAAGAUUCAAUUGCUUGGCUGUAGCUUUCUCUCAUAUAUAUCACCCUAAAUAUAAUGAAGAUCUUUUAGUGUGUAUCAUUUUCCUUUUAGAAACUAGUAUUCUCUUAUUUCUUACUUUAAUGUACUUCUAUCACUGCAUUUAUUUUGCCUGUGCAUAGGAGCAAUUAGGAUCUAAAAAAAUAUAUGGGAAGAUAAAAGAUCUAAGAACAAGUACUUGCUGGAAAAUUAGUUGGCUGGACAUUGAUAAAAUAAUGCAUUUAUAACAAUUACAUGUGUUUCUGGGAACAAGGAAAAUUUCUCAAAAAAGAAUAUUUCACACAUCCCUUCUUUUGAAUGGCCUCUUUGUGACCAGCCAGACCUCAGGUCUUCACUCUUUCUUCUUUGUAAACUAUGUCAUGUGGAAAGAUUUCCUCAGUUAGUGAGCUUGUGUCUGCAAAUUGAUUUUGUUUGUAAUGUAUUUUGAUAGCAAAUCAUGCUGCAUCUAUAUCUUUUUCUUGUUUGAGCUGUUACUACAUUGUACAUGGCAUGUGGGAUCAAUUAAAAAUUUGUUUUAAAAAUA